GACGGAGGGUGCAAGCGUUGCUCGGAAUUACUGGGCGUAAAGAGCUCGUAGGCGGUUUGUCGCGUCUGCUGUGAAAACUUCAGGCUCAACCUGGGGCUUGCAGUGGGUACGGGCAGACUAGAGUGCGGUAGGGGUGACUGGAAUUCCUGGUGUAGCGGUGGAAUGCGCAGAUAUCAGGAGGAACACCGAUGGCGAAGGCAGGUCACUGGGCCGCAACUGACGCUGAGGAGCGAAAGCAUGGGGAGCGAACAGG
rnacentral:rRNA from 1 species